UACGGGGGGAGCAAGCGUUGUUCGGAUUUACUGGGCGUAAAGGGCGCGUAGGCGGCCACCGCAAGUCAAUUGUGAAAUCUCCGGGCUUAACUCGGGAAAGGUCAACUGAUACUGCGGGGCUAGAGUGCGGAAGGGGCAACUGGAAUUCUCGGUGUAGCGGUGAAAUGCGUAGAUAUCGAGAGGAACACCUGCGGCGAAGGCGAGUCCCUGGACAACACCUGACACUGAGGCACGAAAGCUAGGGGAGCAAACAGG
rnacentral:rRNA from 1 species